AUUGAACGCUGGCGGCAUGCUUUACACAUGCAAGUCGAACGGCAGCAUAGGUGCUUGCACCUGAUGGCGAGUGGCGAACGGGUGAGUAAUAUAUCGGAACAUGUCCGGAAGUGGGGGAUAACGUAGCGAAAGUUACGCUAAUACCGCAUAUGCCCUGAGGGGGAAAGGAGGGGAUCGCAAGACCUUUCGCUUUCGGAGUGGCCGAUAUCGGAUUAGAUAGUAGGUGAGGUAAAGGCUCACCUAGGGGACGAUCCGUAGCUGGGCUGAGAGGACGACCAGCGAGACUGGGAAGAAGCAACGGACCAGACUCCUACGGGAGGCAGCAGUGUGGAAUUUUGGAUAAUGGGCGCAAGCCUGAUCCAGCCAUACCGCGUGAGUGAAGAAGGCCUUCGGAUUGUAAAGCUCGUUCAGCUGGAAAGAAAACAUGCUUACUAAUACUAAGUGUGGAUGACGGUACCAGCAGAAGAAGCACCGGCUGACUACGUGCCAGCCGCCGCGGUAA
rnacentral:rRNA from 1 species